rnacentral:rRNA from 1 species
UACGUAGGGGCGAGCGUUGUCCGGAGUUACUGGCGUAAGCGUGCGCAGGCGGUUUGUAAGUUUGUCGUGAAAGCCCCGGGCUCAACCUGGGAAUUGCGAUGAAGACUGCAAGGCUUGAAUCUGGCAGAGGGGGGUAGAAUUCCACGUGUAGCAGUGAAAUGCGUAGAUAUGCGGAGGAACACCGAUGGCGAAGGCAUCCCCUGGGCCUGCACUGACGCUCAUGCACGAAAGCGUGGGGAGCAAACAGG